UUUGACAUGUGCGUAGUAGUGAAGCGAAAGCGGAACGACCUUAACCGGAGCGCACACAGGUGCUGCAUGGCUGUCGUCAGCUCGUGCCGUGAGGUGUUAGGUUAAGUCCUAUAACGAGCGCAGCCCCUGCUGCCAGUUACAAGUGUCUGGCGGGACUGCCGGUCAUAAGCCGGAGGAAGGUGGGGACGACGUCAAGUCAGCAUGGCCUUUAUAUCCUGGGCUACACACACGCUACAAUGGCCGGUACAAUGGGCCGCAAAGCCGCGAGGCGGAGCCAAUCCCAGCAAAGCCGGUCUCAGUUCGGAUUGCAGGCUGCAACCCGCCUGCAUGAAGUUGGAGUUGCUAGUAAACGCGCGUCAGCCAUAGUGCGUUGAAUACGUUCCCGGGCCUUGUACUACACCGCCCGUCACGUCAUGGGAGCUGACAACACCUGAAGCCGGUGGGCCAACCGCAAGGGGGCAGCCGUCGAAGGUGGGGUUGGUGACUGGGACG
rnacentral:rRNA from 1 species